AUCGCUUCUCGGCCUUUUGGCUAAGAUCAAGGGUAGUUUCUGUUCUUAUCAGUAAAUAAAUCACCAUGCCAUACAGUUAAUAAACUUAAGUGUUGUGUGUGUGUGUGUGUCUUCAUAUGAAAAUCUAAUGACUGUUCGUCAAGGUCUGUAUUAGACAUUUU
rnacentral:snRNA from 1 species